CAGAUCGUCUCCUGCUCUGCCUGUGGAUCAGCGUACGCCUCAACAAUCUGUUCGUCCUGCGGUCGAGGAUUUCACAGAGACUGUCACAUCCCCCCUGUGGGACCUGACAUCCAUUUCUCCUCACAGGUCUGAGGUCAGAGUUUAGUCUGCUGAGUGACGUAUAAAAUAUGUCGACAACUGAGAGGAAAACUCUGCUCAGAGUGGAUCUGCUCGUUGUGUCAGGACCUGUCGGAGCCAUCAGACCCCUACAGCUCAGACCGACCACAGGGUCCUCAGAGUCUCAGUCUGCUGAACCAGAGGAGGUGUGAGAGUCUGCUGCUGCAGCU